rnacentral:rRNA from 1 species
UACGUAGGGUGCGAGCGUUAAUCGGAAUUACUGGGCGUAAAGCGUGCGCAGGCGGUUUGUUAAGACAGAUGUGAAAUCCCCGGGCUUAACCUGGGGAACUGCAUUUGUGACUGGCAAGCUAGAGUAUGGCAGAGGGGGGUGGAAUUCCACGUGUAGCAGUGAAAUGCGUAGAGAUGUGGAGGAAUACCGAUGGCGAAGGCAGCCCCCUGGGCCAAUACUGACGCUCAUGCACGAAAGCGUGGGGAGCAAACAGG